AGUGAACGCUGGCGGUAGGCCUAACACAUGCAAGUCGAACGGCAGCACAGUAAGAGCUUGCUCUUACGGGUGGCGAGUGGCGGACGGGUGAGGAAUACAUCGGAAUCUACUUUUUCGUGGGGGAUAACGUAGGGAAACUUACGCUAAUACCGCAUACGACCUACGGGUGAAAGCAGGGGAUAUUCGGACCUUGCGCGAUUGAAUGAGCCGAUGUCGGAUUAGCUAGUUGGCGGGGUAAAGGCCCACCAAGGCGACGAUCCGUAGCUGGUCUGAGAGGAUGAUCAGCCACACGGGAACUGAGACACGGUCCAGACUCCUACGGGAGGCAGCAGUGGGGAAUAUUGGACAAUGGGCGCAAGUCUGAUCCAGCCAUACCGCGUGUGUGAAGACGGCCUUCGGGUUGUAAAGCCCUUUUGUUGGGAAAGAAAAGCAGCAGGUUAAUACCCCGCUGUUCUGACGGUACCCAAAGAAUAAGCACCGGCUAACUUCGUG
rnacentral:rRNA from 1 species